ACACAGCCCCCGAGUGAGCCUGCGUGCCGAGCAGCCAAACCCGGAGCAGCAGAUUGUGGUGUGUCUCAGGAGGACAGGACCACGUAUUUCAGAUUCUGAAAAAUGUUGGCUUGUCUUAGGGCAACCCAUUAUUUCAAGCGUUCUCUGUGGAUGGAGAGCUGUUCAAGCUGACACUUUAAGAAUGUCCUCGUACAUUCUUCAAGUAACUUUUCAUGAAACUGCAGUCCUGUGCGCAUAUAGUGACCCACAGAAAUUAAUUUCUAGCAAGAUAGUAAACAAAUAAAAAGCAGACAAGUUAGAGCAAACUGUCAUCACAUUUACACUUGAACUUAGUUUGACAGGAGCAGUUUAGCUGAAACAACAGAAUAUUCACUGGCAGGUUAAUAUUGAGUUCGUGACCUUGUAUCAUUGAGAGCAGGAAGCCACCUUAAUUUUCAGCCAUCAAAUUUCAGCCAUCAAGUUUGCGAUACUGCUUUUGAUCUUGUGGUGUAUGGUGUCACUCAGCACAAUGUUGCAUUAAGGUGCUAAAAUGGUGGGGUUGUCACUUGAGUGGAAUGUGCAUGACCAGCGAUUUGUUACUUUGGUUAUGGUCGGUGACAGCUAUUGGACUCAGAUCUGCUGUACUCCUUCUAGCACGUUAAUUUGUGUCUCCUGAUGCUGGUUGUUAGAUGCAUCUGCUCUCUUGGGUCUGAUUGUACAGACUUCAGUAGUGCUCCUAUUCACUUGCUCAGGUUGCCUCUUCCCUUUUGUCUCCUGAAAAUUAAGAACCCUGCAUUUUGUCAAAAUGUCCAUAUUACAGAUAUGAUGGGAUGUUUUCAGAGUCACUGUAGAUGACUAUGCACAGAAACCAGUCGUGUUUCCAAGAAUACAGCCUAUUACAGUCAUUAACUUUUCUUGGCUACUACCCAGUGUAAAAUGGUUUGAGACGCAUCCCUCUUCAUGUACCUGCUGUCACCUGGUUGUGACAGACUCUCGAACAGCUUUCCUUUCUCCCAGUCAUUUCUCACUGAAGUGCAUGUCCUGCUUGCAUGAGGUUUGAUUGUGUAAGCUUGAUACAACUACUAGUUCAUCAAUAAGUGAAAUGGGAUAAUAACAAAGAAUAUCAGCAAUAAUCCUAGACCAUAGACAUAGGGGGAUCUGCUCUGUUUUCUCUGUAGUUACAGUCAUGAAAAUAUAUGUGCUCUGGAAUAAUUUAUUUUCUGAAUAAAAUCUCAGAGUAUGAUUUAAAAAGAGUUGGAAUCCUGAGAUUCAAGUGUUACAAUGCUAAAAUUACAGAUACGGGGUUCUUAGAGUACUCCAAACUUCAGUGCUUGGUACCCUGGCUUUUUAUCCAUUAGGGUCCAAUACUUUGGGACAGGUGUCAUCUCCUGAUGAGCCAGAAACUAUCCAAGGUCAGCAACCGAAAGAGAUUUUUCAGAGAGCAACCUCCUUGGGAUAUCUAACAACAGGUGUUGGAAGUCUGGUUCCCAUCUCAAAGACAGAGCUUUUGUGUUCUCAAUUCAGGGCUGAGCCAUUUGCCCUGGAGAUGGAUCCUGUUGUCCAAAGCUGUAUUAUAUAACUCACCUCAGUGCAUGUUUUUAAAUUACAUUCUGGUAACAGCUCUGCCUCUGUCUUGCACUGUUGACCUCUGCAUUUUUUUUUUCUGGCGCUGUGAAAGUUUAAGUACAUCACUUUAUUUUGAAAACAUAAGCAUUUUAAGGUAGAUGAAAAGUUUGGAAUCCAGACCUAUCGAGAAAUGUGGUGGGUAGGGAUUUUUGAUACAACUCCAGGCCAUCUGCUAAAUAGCAGCAAAUAAUUAAUUUUGCUGACUUGACUUGUCUGAGAUAACAUCAUUUCAGAGCCUCAAGACUGCUUGUGUUUCCACUCUUUCAUCCCAUCACUGUGUUUUUGUUUUUGUGGUGGUUUCUGGUGAUUUUCAUCAGUUGUUAUGACUGUACAUAGCCCUUGGCACCCACGUUCUCCUGCCCGUCUGCUGCUGUAACUUUCUCUAUGUUCCUCCUCAGUACACUCACUCUUACAUCACUCCGUGUGCCCCUUUUCCCCUACAGUUUUAGCCCACUUAUCAUGCUUGUUCAAUAGCAGACAGCUUCAGAAGUCUGGACACAAAGCAAUGCAUGAUUUGGUGGAAUUGAUCCACUCUCUCCAGGAACAGACCCUGUACAAAAACACACUUCCUCCUCCAAAAACCCUCUAAUAAAAAUUACGACUGACAAGAAUUGUACAAUUAUUUUCAAGCUUGUUUUGACAAAGCCAUGUUCAUUUGCUUAUCUUCAAAGAGCUUUGCCACUUAAUUGGAAUAUGAUAGGUGGGAAUUCCACCCCAUGCUGGGCAGCUCAGAUGAAGUCUGGAUAACUGGAGAGCAACCAGCAUUCAGCAUGACCACCUGCUUCUUAUUUCCUCUGACUUUCAUUCAUAUUUUUUGGUGCCUUCCUUCCACAAAACUUCUCAAAUUAGUCUGUCUGUAUUUCCUUCCCUCCAAAAAGCUGCAGUUAACAAUUUGCUGCCUUCUCAUAUUUGGGUAAUUUUACAGUUUUACGUUACCAGCUGAAUGGUGCUACGCUAAAGUGCUCUCAACUUGUUCCCACUAAGGAGUUUGCCAAUAACACCCACUUUUUGUUAUGCUUAAUGCCAUCACUUUGCUUAUCAGUGCCCAAAGGCAAACACAAAGAAAAGGUGACGCAAUUUCCGAUUAAAGAAUCACUGUAUAUUAAUAUAUCAUUCUUAAAAUACUCUAACAAUACCUCUAUGUGUGCAUUUUGUUGGCAGUUUUGUCCUCCUGGAAGAAUUAAUCAUUUUUUCCUGGACCAAACUACUGUGCUUCUGACAUGCACUGUCCCACUGAGCUGUGUAUCUGCCAAAGUGAAAUCCUGGAUAAAUAAAUGGAAUCUUUCAGUUCUGCCUGAACAAGACUUGUGCUGAUUUAGAGAGUCUGUCUGGAAAAACACAGCUGCAUAGCAGCCAAAGAGAUACAUCACUGCCCUCACAGGCUGGGUUUGGAGCAUUCAGUCAGUGCUUCAUCAUGAUGGACAUGUUCACUGUUUUUGAUGUUUGCUUUUUGAAAACCAGUUUGUGCUUUUCUUCAGCUGCCAGAAGCAAGCCUGCAGUCAUAGCACGGAUGUAAACAACCACAGAGUACUGAAGAAGAGCAGAGCAGACAGCCUUGAUGCUGAGCAGGGGCCAGUGCCGCUGUGUCCUGAGCAGCCCCUUCCCAGUGCAGGCACACCACUGCCACAGGCAGCGCCGCGUCCCCAGCCCAGAGCUGCCAGGUACCCACCCACCCACCUAUCUAUGACUGACUGGAAGUUUUGCAACACACUUUGACGAGUGCAAAAAAAAAUAUCCAUGCUCAAUUUAAUUCUUCCUUCAGCUCUGAUAAAAUUGGUUACAGUAAGUAAUAGUUGGGUGCUGAAUUAAUUUUUGCCCUCUCAAGUUCAGUACUUUAAAAUAUGUCAAAAGACAUGUUGCUAUUUGCUGCACAGUUUGAAGUGAUCCUGGAAACAUUGGCUUCUGUUGCUGCUUUUCAAAUCCUAAACUUCAAUGGCUAAUUCAAGCUUUAAAAACUCAAAGACUAACAGAUGUGUAUGGAAUUUUUUUGAAGAAAAAAAUCCAUCAGAAAAAAAUCAGAAAUUGAAGUCUACCAUUUGAAGUCUGUUAGAAAGAAUUUGAAGUUGAUAAAACACAAAUUAACUUUUGCUGUCAGUACUUACAGCAACAUCAUUUCAAGACAGAGAGACCCAAAAUGAAAAAUCUUAUUUAUAAAAAUGAAACCAGAUUCCACUGUCGGGGAAUGCAAACUAAAUAGCAGGAGUUAAAGGAAAACCAGGUAGAUUUUGGUGGUAGAUAGCCACCACAACUUCCAGGUACUGGGCAGAGCACUUACUAUCACCGGCAUCUUGCCCUGUCCGUGAAACAGAAGAAAGGUAGUGCAAAUCCCUUGUUAGCCUCUGUUUCUAUUUUCAGACCAGCUCUUCUGCUUUAGAUUCACAUUAUUAAUGGGCCCUCUGGGGCACAGACAUCCAGAAAUUAAGCUUUGCUAUACCCAGAAGGCCAAGAGCACUGCCAGGAGUUGGCACCUGAUUUAGACUCAUGGUGACGAGGCUCAGUUUAAGAUUCAGAGUGAUCUCUUCUGCCCAAGGCAGAGAGGUCUCUGUCUCAGGGUGGCUUUCUACUGAGUGGACCAAGCCACUUUUAGGCUGGGUCCCAGAGAGAUGUGAAGGUCAGACUGAAGAUGUUCAAAGUCAAGUUAAGAUGUGCUAAAUAACAAAAAUGGCCUUCUUGUGCCGACAGUGAUCUUGCUGCUGUGUUGCAGGCUACUGAGGUAUAUCUGAGGCUCAUGCACUUAGCUUUUUUCUUUGGAAAGUAAAGCAGAUCCAUGAAUUCCCCAACAGCCAGGGUAAAUAAGUCCUCUUCUUUUUUUAACACAGCUACCUCAAAUGAAAACAUGCUACAGUUUUCUUGAUUUCUCUGGCCACUGCCAGACACAAGGAAAGCGCCACAUACGUAUUGCUGAAUUUGGUUUUGCCUCACUGGAUUUUUAUGGAUGGUUACCCUCAAAACACAAACUAUUAAUAGGCCUGUGUCUGAAUGCUCGACCACGUGAGACUUCAUCUGUUACAUUCAGGCUGUGUUUUGAUAGAUUGUUAUUCCAUUAACUAAAAAUCCUUGGGCUAUGAAGGAUAUAAAACAGUCCUACAACCACUUGCCCUAAAGCUAAUAUUUAAAUAUCACAGGGAAAAAUUGAGUAGUCCAUUAGAGGAAUGGGAAAGGAAUUACAUCAUAGGCAAUGAGAAGGAAAUAUAUAUGAAUUCUAGCAGUAUAAACCAAUGUAAAACAAAAGUUUUUUGAGCUGAGAUUUGUUUAAUUGAUGCUAACAACACUACAGAUUAUUUAAAUAGAUUUUGUAACUCUGUUGUUGUUACAGAGAUUAAAUUACACUAAGAUAAUAAUGUAGUUUUGGGGUAAUUUACAUAACAAAUAAGGCUCCUAAAAUUUCAGUUUUCUGCAUAUCCUUUUUAAUGGGAACAAAUUCCAAAACAAUUUCAAUUUUAGAAGCAAUUUGUGAAGCUGUCCAGUGAUCAUUGCUCCUGCUCUAAAUUCCCAGGCAAAAAUUAGCCAGUUUCUUUUAUUUUCACUCAUGCACACAAAAAUUCUUGCUUGCAACAUCAAAUCAACCUCUUCUGCCUUAUCUGGUUUAUAGUGCAGAAUAAACCAAUUUAAAUUAAGUGAUUCAUGAUUUUAAUUAACAAGCAAGAAAUUUUGAUGUGACUAUCAGUUUUUAACUUGCAUUACACAUCUUUAUAAUUUGAUUUGAAGAAAGUUUAGCAUUGUUUGUUGGAAACUUUGUAAUACAAAUUUCACCUAAAUAUAGUCAAUGCUAAAUGGGGUUUGUUUUUUUCCCACCUAUGUACCCACACACAUUCGUGUAUACAGCUCUUGCUUGGUAUACAUAUAUUCAUGUUCUAAUUUUUUUUUACUCUGUUGAUAUUUAAUACCAAAGAAAUAAUU